rnacentral:rRNA from 4 species
GGGUUGUGAGGUUAAGCGACUAAGCGUACACGGUGGAUGCCCUGGCAGUCAGAGGCGAUGAAGGACGUGCUAAUCUGCGAUAAGCGCCGGUAAGGUGAUAUGAACCGUUAUAACCGGCGAUUUCCGAAUGGGGAAACCCAGUGUGAUUCGUCACACUAUCAUUAACUGAAUCCAUAGGUUAAUGAGGCGAACCGGGGGAACUGAAACAUCUAAGUACCCCGAGGAAAAGAAAUCAACCGAGAUUCCCCCAGUAGCGGCGAGCGAACGGGGAGGAGCCCAGAGCCUGAAUCAGCAUGUGUGUUAGUGGAAGCGUCUGGAAAGGUGCGCGAUACAGGGUGACAGCCCCGUACACAAAAGCGCAUGUGCUGUGAGCUCGAUGAGUAGGGCGGGACACGUGGUAUCCUGUCUGAAUAUGGGGGGACCAUCCUCCAAGGCUAAAUACUCCUGACUGACCGAUAGUGAACCAGUACCGUGAGGGAAAGGCGAAAAGAACCCCGGCGAGGGGAGUGAAAAAGAACCUGAAACCGUGUACGUACAAGCAGUGGGAGCACAGGUUUACCUGUGUGACUGCGUACCUUUUGUAUAAUGGGUCAGCGACUUAUAUUCUGUAGCAAGGUUAACCGUAUAGGGGAGCCGUAGGGAAACCGAGUCUUAACCGGGCGUUAAGUUGCAGGGUAUAGACCCGAAACCCGGUGAUCUAGCCAUGGGCAGGUUGAAGGUUGGGUAACACUAACUGGAGGACCGAACCGACUAAUGUUGAAAAAUUAGCGGAUGACCUGUGGCUGGGGGUGAAAGGCCAAUCAAACCGGGAGAUAGCUGGUUCUCCCCGAAAGCUAUUUAGGUAGCGCCUCGUGAAUUCAUCUCCGGGGGUAGAGCACUGUUUCGGCUAGGGGGCCAUCCCGGCUUACCAACCCGAUGCAAACUGCGAAUACCGGAGAAUGUUAUCACGGGAGACACACGGCGGGUGCUAACGUCCGUCGUGAAGAGGGAAACAACCCAGACCGCCAGCUAAGGUCCCAAAGUCAUGGUUAAGUGGGAAACGAUGUGGGAAGGCCCAGACAGCCAGGAUGUUGGCUUAGAAGCAGCCAUCAUUUAAAGAAAGCGUAAUAGCUCACUGGUCGAGUCGGCCUGCGCGGAAGAUGUAACGGGGCUAAACCAUGCACCGAAGCUGCGGCAGCGAACGUAUCACCCAAGACAACUUUACGGAGUUGACGAUUGACGGAGCGAAGCGACGUCAAAGCGUUCAUUAAAGUCGAGUUGGCUUAGGGAUACGUUCGUUGGGUAGGGGAGCGUUCUGUAAGCCUGUGAAGGUGUGUCGUGAGGCAUGCUGGAGGUAUCAGAAGUGCGAAUGCUGACAUAAGUAACGAUAAAGCGGGUGAAAAGCCCGCUCGCCGGAAGACCAAGGGUUCCUGUCCAACGUUAAUCGGGGCAGGGUGAGUCGACCCCUAAGGCGAGGCCGAAAGGCGUAGUCGAUGGGAAACGGGUUAAUAUUCCCGUACUUGGUGUUACUGCGAAGGGGGGACGGAGAAGGCUAUGUUGGCCGGGCGACGGUUGUCCCGGUUUAAGCGUGUAGGUGUGUGUUCCAGGUAAAUCCGGUUCACUUUAACACUGAGGCGUGACGACGAGGCACUACGGUGCUGAAGCAACAAAUGCCCUGCUUCCAGGAAAAGCCUCUAAGCAUCAGGUAACAUCAAAUCGUACCCCAAACCGACACAGGUGGUCAGGUAGAGAAUACCAAGGCGCUUGAGAGAACUCGGGUGAAGGAACUAGGCAAAAUGGUGCCGUAACUUCGGGAGAAGGCACGCUGACACGUAGGUGAAGUGAUUUACUCAUGGAGCUGAAGUCAGUCGAAGAUACCAGCUGGCUGCAACUGUUUAUUAAAAACACAGCACUGUGCAAACACGAAAGUGGACGUAUACGGUGUGACGCCUGCCCGGUGCCGGAAGGUUAAUUGAUGGGGUCAGCGUAAGCGAAGCUCCUGAUCGAAGCCCCGGUAAACGGCGGCCGUAACUAUAACGGUCCUAAGGUAGCGAAAUUCCUUGUCGGGUAAGUUCCGACCUGCACGAAUGGCGUAAUGAUGGCCAGGCUGUCUCCACCCGAGACUCAGUGAAAUUGAACUCGCUGUGAAGAUGCAGUGUACCCGCGGCAAGACGGAAAGACCCCGUGAACCUUUACUAUAGCUUGACACUGAACAUUGAGCCUUGAUGUGUAGGAUAGGUGGGAGGCUUUGAAGUGUGGACGCCAGUCUGCAUGGAGCCGACCUUGAAAUACCACCCUUUAAUGUUUGAUGUUCUAACGUGGACCCGUAAUCCGGGUUGCGGACAGUGUCUGGUGGGUAGUUUGACUGGGGCGGUCUCCUCCUAAAGAGUAACGGAGGAGCACGAAGGUUGGCUAAUCCUGGUCGGACAUCAGGAGGUUAGUGCAAUGGCAUAAGCCAGCUUGACUGCGAGCGUGACGGCGCGAGCAGGUGCGAAAGCAGGUCAUAGUGAUCCGGUGGUUCUGAAUGGAAGGGCCAUCGCUCAACGGAUAAAAGGUACUCCGGGGAUAACAGGCUGAUACCGCCCAAGAGUUCAUAUCGACGGCGGUGUUUGGCACCUCGAUGUCGGCUCAUCACAUCCUGGGGCUGAAGUAGGUCCCAAGGGUAUGGCUGUUCGCCAUUUAAAGUGGUACGCGAGCUGGGUUUAGAACGUCGUGAGACAGUUCGGUCCCUAUCUGCCGUGGGCGCUGGAGAACUGAGGGGGGCUGCUCCUAGUACGAGAGGACCGGAGUGGACGCAUCACUGGUGUUCGGGUUGUCAUGCCAAUGGCACUGCCCGGUAGCUAAAUGCGGAAGAGAUAAGUGCUGAAAGCAUCUAAGCACGAAACUUGCCCCGAGAUGAGUUCUCCCUGAGACUUAGAGUCUCCUGAAGGAACGUUGAAGACGACGACGUUGAUAGGCCGGGUGUGUAAGCGCAGCGAUGCGUUGAGCUAACCGGUACUAAUGAACCGUGAGGCUUAACCUUACAACGCCGAAG